ACGGUCAUGCCACAUUGAAAAAAAAAAAACGGUUCUCAUCCGAUUACCAGAAGUUAAGCAAUGUCAUGCCCGGUCAGUAUUUGGGAGGGUGAUCACUCGUAAGCU